rnacentral:ncRNA from 1 species
UUUCACCAAUUCUCCAAUGAAUCUUGCUUAACCUUUUCCAUGAGAAUUCCAUCAAUAUAUAGGAGAGAAUGAGAUUGUUACUUAGAUAAGAAUGAUCCCACAAUAUCAGGGAAACCAGUAAAAGGAUAACCAUUCGAAUGCCAACCCAUUCUUCUAGAAUAUUCCCUUCUAGAGCCAUCAAGAAUUCAUCUUUUUCCAAGCUUUAGAACAAGUUCGCACCCUAGCUAUGUAGCACAGUGAGAGAAGUUCGCACCCUAGCUUAAGGAAUCCUAUGAGAAUGGGUCAUUCUCACACCCUAGGACACUAGAAACCUGCGAACUCUCUUCAAAAGUGAGUUUUCUGGGAAGAGAUGAAUGCUACUUUUCUCAGGAGAAAGUUCUUAUGAGGAGCCUGAGUACACCAUCAUCAAUACACCAUCAAGAUUGACAAAAAUCAUGGGUAACAGAGAUGGGGCAUCGCCCCUAUUUUUUUCCUUAAGACAUGUUUCGACGGGUCGAUCGGGGCGGAAGACAUUGUCAGGUGGGGAGUUUGGCUGGGGUGACACAUCUGUUAAAAGAUAACAAAGGUGUCCUAAGAUGAGCUCAAUGAGAACAUAAAUCUCGUGUGGAACAAAAGGGUAAAAUCUCAUUUGAUUUUGAUUUUCAGUAUGAAUACAAAUUGUGGAAGCAUGGCCUAUCGAUCCUUUAGACUUUCAAAAUUUGAAGCUAGAGGUGUCAGAAAAUUUACGACAGGGAUAAUUGGCUUGUGGCAGCCAAGCGUUCAUAGCAACGUUGCUUUUUGAUCCUUCGAUGUCGGCUCUUCCUAUCAUUGUGAAGCAUAAUUCACCAAGUGUAGGAUUUUUCACCCACCAAUAGGGAAUGUGAGCUGGGUUUAGACCAUCAUGAGACAGGUUAGUUUUACCCUACUAAUGAACCACACCGCAAUAGUAAUUCAACUUAGUAUGAGAGGAACCAUUGAUUCAUACAAUUGGUCAUCAUGCUUGGUUGAAAAGACAGUGGCGCGAAGCUACCGUGUGUCGGAUUAUGACUGAACGCCUCUAAGUCAGAAUCCAUGCUAGAAGCGAUGCUUGUCACUCAUCGACUGUAUCUUGACCCAUAGUAGGGGUGUCUCUUCAGCACCCCGAAGGGCCCAUGUCACUUGCGAACCUUAGCCGGGAAGUGUCUUGAUCGGGGUAGCUUUGAAGUUCAAUUUCAAAUGGUCGUUGAGAAGAAUCCUUUGCAGAUGACUUAAAUACAUGACGAGUUAUUGUAAGUGGUAGAGUGGCCUUGCUUCCAUGAUCCACUGAGAUUCAACCCUUCGUUACCUCGAUUCAA